rnacentral:lncRNA from 1 species
AUACCGAUUCCUUUCCAUAAUACUCUCGUCAUUAAAACUGAACACUGAACCAAAGGAUAUAAUCACAAUCACCCGCGAAACAGAUGCACAGAAUACACGAAAGCGCGCCAAAAUGCAAAAUAUGCUCAUAGGAGGCGGCCGGCGGAGUUGACCUACAGUCUUAACGCACACAACAAUCCUGGGCGAAGCACAGGGAUUCUUCUUUUCUUCUCUUGAAUUGUGCAGCAAAGGAAUCCGCGCCUCUGAUGGCUUCUCCGAGGAGUGGUCCGGCGAACCAGGAGGGUGCCGAUCAAUCUGACGCAUCAAAAGUAGUAAAUCUCACUUAGUUCUUCAAGGUCAAAUUCUCUAAUUUCUUUGUUUUGAACCAUUGCAGGAACACAGCCCUCAAUGCAAACAAAUAUGAUUGUCAAAAAGAUUGGCUUACCAUGCACCCUUGUGGAACUUGUACAACAAAGCGUGGCCAGAAUCUACAGAUCCAAACAGCGACAGAAAAUUAGUUUAUUCUGCAUUUAGAAAAACAAAGCAGUACCAUGUACAGUACCCCUAAUUCACAUUUAAUUGAAUGUGCGGACAUUCUUGUAGCAUCUCUGAUUUCAGUUCAUGGAAAGCAUCCACUACAGUUUUUGUAUUCAGUGCAUAUAGUUCCUGGGAAGUAUUAACUAAAUCGAAUCUUAAUUGAUAUAUGAUCUGCAGGAAACCGCAGUAGAUCACACCGAUGAAAGGGUACCAAAGCUUGGCAUGCAAUUUUUAUCUGAAGAGGAAGCGUAUUUAUUUUAUAACAACUAUGCUAAAGCUAUUGGUUUUAGCAUCAGAAGAAGCAGUGGUCAUAAAGUACCAAACUCUUCUACACUGCAGCAACGGACAUUUACAUGCUCUCGUCAAGGUAUGGAUUACUUUUAAUUUGUUUUGAUUGUAAUCACUACUUUAUGCUCUAAGACAAUUAUACUACAACUUAUAGGCCAUCGUCGGGAAGAUAAAAGAGAGGAGACAUUCAUUUACAGUAGGCCUGAAACACGAUGUGGCUGUGAUGCCCGUAUGAAGAUUAGCCUUAGAAAUGGAGUUUAUUAUGUGUAUGAAUUCGAGGGGGCACAUAAUCACAAUCUUGCUCAUGGAAUCAUGGCCCAAUACCUGAGAUCCCAGAGAAAAGUGACAGAAGCACAGAUAGCAAAUGCAGAGAUCGCAAAGUCAGUAGGUAUCUCAAAUAAAGCAACAAUCGAUUUGAUGGCCAAAGAAGCAUGUGGGAGUGAAAACCUUGGGUUUAUACCUCAAGAUAUGAAAAACCGUUUGUACUCAAAGAGAACAAUAAAAGCGAAGGUAGGUGACACCGGGGGAGUAUUAGAAUACAUGGAGAAAAAGGUCUCGGAAGAUGUCAACUUUUUCUAUUCAAUUCAAGUGGAUGAGGAUGAAUUGAUAACUAAUAUUUUUUGGGCUGACUCCAAAAUGGUUUCAGACUAUGCGUUAUUCGGCAAUGUUAUAUGCUUUGACACCACAUACAGGAAACUAGAUGAUGGACGUCCAUUUGGUUUGAUUGUCGGGGUGAAUAAUCAUCAGAAAACUGUUGUCUUUGGUGCUGCAUUUCUCUAUGAUGAAACCGCUGCAAGUUUUGGUUGGCUUUUCAGAACUUUCCUAAAAGUUAUGUCAGGAAAACAUCCACGUACAGUUCUCACCGAUGAAGAUGCGGCAAUGGCAAAGGCAAUUCGUGAAGUCUUCCCUCACUCUCACGGUAGACUUUGCGUGUGGCAUAUGAAUCAAAAUGCUUGCAAGCACCUGGCCGGAGUUGUUGACGAAGAAGUUCAAUGCUGAUUUUCAGCACUGUAUAUAUGAUAUAAAAGAGGAGGAUGAAUUUGUAGGUGCAUGGGAUAAAAUGAUUGACAAGUAUGGACUAUGUGACAAUGAAUGGCUGCAAAGGCUAUUUGAGAAAAAGGAACAGUGGGCACUAGUGUAUGGUAAAAAUACGUUCGUUGCCCACAUGAGCACUACCCAAAGAAGUGAAAGCAUGAACAAUGAACUAAAGAGAUACAUUAGUAUUAAAUAUGACAUGCUUACUUUCUUUGAGCAUUUUGAACGGCUAGUUUUGGAUAAAAGAUGUGAAGAGGUGAAGUAUGACUUUAAAGCAACACAGACUACUCCCAAGUUGAAGGCUGAAUCUAGCUAUAUGUUAACACAAGCUGCAGCUACAUAUACUCCAGCAAUAUUCAAGAUGGUUCAAGAUCAAGUGCUUCGGACUCUGAACUAUGACACAUUGCUUUGUGAUGAAAGUGACACCAAGAUGAAGAUUUAUGUAGUAAAAUUUCAUGGCACACAACGUGAACAUGUUGUUAGAUUCACACCAAAAGAAGAAAAGGUUAGCCGCAGCUGCAAAAAGCUUGAGUUUGCUAGAAUCCUUUGCUCUCAUUGCCUAAAGGUACUUGAUAUCAAUAAUAUCAAGCAUAUUCCAGGAGAAUAUAUUUUAAAACGGUGGACAAUUGAUGCCAAAGUUCUAGAUAUAACAAGCAAAUGCAACCCGCAUGAGAACCUAAAAGCAAGAAUGUCUAAUCGCUAUAAGGAAUUGUGUAGAAUGUUUGUGAAAAUAGCUGCUCGUGCAGCUGAGUCAGAAGAAUCAUACAAUAAGGUUGUUAAGUGUGCAGAGCAAUUAGCACAAGAUGUGGAAAAAUGGUUGAAGAUUAGAGUUGAUCUAGAUUUGGUUAGCAUUGAUCUAGAUUUGGAUAACUCAUGUACUAAAGAAGGUACAAACUAUACUAACAAUAAUUGCCUAGACUAUUGUAAAACAAAGUAUGAUAUUUAUCAUUAUAGUGGCAGGUGUGAAUAUACCAUCUAGUAGGAUUUCAAAACAUGGUGAGGGGCUUGCAAAACCAAAAGGUAUGAAGGUCAAGGAGAAGACCGUCAAAGGAUCAAAAAGACCCGUUGGCAGAUUUGAGAAAGCAACUUCAAAAAAGAAAAAGAACACAGAUGAUAGUGUACAACAAGAGACUCAUGGCCCGUCAAUGGUAUCAUACUUCGUCUCAUUGUGGCUUAUAAAACAUUCAAUUGUACUAGCCUUUCUCUAUCAAAUUUUACAGGCCCUUUGGAGAAACAGACUUUGAAAAAGAAAAAGAACAAUAAUGAUACUGUACAACUACAACCUCAUGGCCCCUCAACGGUACAACAUUGUCACUUGUUUCUUUUAAAAUCUUCAACUGUAAUGACCUUUCUCUAUCAAUUUCAACAGGGUCCUUUAGAAUUUUUCGGGAACCAAAUGGGUGCAUAUCAAUUACCCUACAACACUAUCGUAAAUGCUUCAAUGCAACCAUCAGUUGGUAACAUCCCGAUGCCACCACAGACCCACCAACUGUUGAUGGGAUUCCAACCAUACAACACAACAGUGGUAGAAGCAAUCCACACUUUCAAGUUUUCAUUUUUUUUCAAACUUCAUUGAAAAUGAACUUUGCUACUUUGUGCAUAGUGUCAUCCCACAAACCACAUGUACGCCUAUUUACAGCAGCAGAACUCUGCUCUGAAUCCCUCCCUGCACGAGACCAUUUGGGAAAAUCAAAGCUUCUUUCUUCAACCAAAUCAACAUCUAUCCUAAAUGGUACAAUGCAGCCAUCAAUUGGUCAAACCAUGUCAGUGCCACCACAAAGACAAGAACAACAAAAUACUCUACUGGUAUAACAUUCCACCCUUUCUACUUUUCCAAUUUUGUAAACUUCAAUGAAACUGAACUUUGCUACUUUGUGCACAGGAUUAUCGGACAAACCACACGUACACCUAUCUACAACAGCAUAACUUGGCUCUGGAUCCCUCUUUGACAGAGAAUAUUGGAGCCUCUAAAUAUAGUUCGAUGACAUGACAAAAUCAAGGCUUACUUCUUGAACCGAAGGCGACAUCUAUUAUAAAUGCUACAACACAACCAUCAGUUGGUCACACCACCCUGAUGCCACAGACCCAAGACCCACACAAUACUCAAGGGGCCAAUAGCUCCUGUGCGACGUUUUUGAUGUGAAUUUGCUUGAGUGCGACGUUGUUCGAGUGAUUGGCUGUGAUGCGACACACUUGAGCGUGUAAAUAGCUCCAAUGCGACAUGGCUCUGUUUAACCGUGAAAUAAAAAACACGAGGGUUAGAGAUUUGAGUUAUGACACGCGGGACCCACCAGUUACUCGCAUGCGGAUGGGACCCACAACUUAUCCACACAAGCAUGCCCGUGCUCAUUAGCGUGCCCCGGCCCGAGCCAGCCCCAUGCCAGUAUCCUGCCCCUCCAUUGCUUACCCUGCCCCUUUCCUUUCCCACCUUCUUCUUCCUCUACUCCGGCAACGAAGCGCGCCGCCGGCGAGUGAUGUCUAGCUCGACUUCAGCCACCCGCCAAUCAUGGACGCAAUAUGGUCCAUUGUCGUUGACAAGAUGCCCCGAUUGCCCGCGCAUGGAGCCUCUCAAGCGUUUGACUUGUGUGAGGGAAGAAAAUGGCAACCGUGGGCGCGAGUUUGUGAAAUGUUUGAGCAAGCCACAGCCGGGGCAGGUUAGAUCUGUGGUCUUGACCAAUUCUAUGGUCUAAUUUGUCCCAAUUUAUUUCUCUUUCCCUCGAAUUAGGGCGGUGGAUCUGGGUGGUGGAUCUAGGAUUCAUGCGCCGCCGGCCCCCUGUUUUCAGGUUUUGAAGAAAUGUGGGCAUUUUGAGUGGCUCGGUGAAUAUGUUGAAAGGUUGAAAUUGGAGGGAUCAACCCCAACCCAAGAGCUCAAUUUUGGGGGGCGGCUUGCCGUGGAACAAGCCCCCAAUUUGGCGGACAGAGCCGAUCCGAUGAUGCACAGUGCAGAACUGAAGUGUGAAUUGAAGAAAACCGGCAAGCAACUAAAGCAUCUGAUCGAUUUGAAGCAGCAAGCAAAUAAGAUGGCGGGAGCAUUUUAUGGUUGUGUCAUUGCUUUGGGUUUAUUUUACUUGAUGUUCAUCAAUCGCUAGAAUUUGUUAUAGUUUCAGUUAGUUAGUCAGCUAGUUUCAGGGGUGCCCAGUAGUCUAAGUUAGCCAGGGAUCAUUUGUUAGAUGAACUUGAAUUCGUGUGAAGCAAAACUUGCUUGAAUUAUUGUACUGAUAUUCUCAGGGGCCCUAUUCAGUGUUCAUGCUCUGUUUCCUCUGUUUUUGUUCUUCAGUUAACAGAGUACACACAAAUUCAGUUUCUAGUAAAAAAACAAAACUGGGCUGCCGAAUAGAUGUUGGGCCAUGAGAAAAUGGGCCCUAAGAAAAUAACCAUGCCCAAAAUAGAGACCAGCCCGCCCGCGCAGGGGCACCAGCCCACCCGCGUAGCGGCACCAGCCCACCUCUAACUUCGGCAAAUAAAAUGUUACUUGUUUUUACCUUGGCCUUUUUCUUGCACUAAAUUUUGUGAUGGAUCAUUUUUUGAUGCAAUAAAACCAAAUGUUAAUUGUUUUUAUGCAUGUCUACGGUUCCAUGAACUAAAUGAGUUGCAUGAAGUAAAUUAGUUUGCAUUUCCUAGUGGCAUGUCCAUAGUGGGUUUGCAUGGGGCUCCUAGUUGCAUGGGGCUUGCAUGUCCAUGGUUUGGCCAAUAUUUUGAAGAUGGUGUGUGUGUGGUGAGAUUGAGGUGUAGCAACCCGGGCUCGUAGAAACCCAUAGCAAUACACAAAUGAUAAGCAAGAACAACCCAUAGCAAUCUUCAAAUAAUAGCACGAAACACACAAUAUAUAUAGUAGCAUAAUGAUUGCAACCCAUAGUUCCACGAUAACCUUACAACUCCAUGAUAGCCUUACAACUUAAAAUACUAAUACAACUUAAUAAUAGUAGCAUAACAAUUACUACUUAAAAAAACUAAUACGAUAAGCUAGAUAGAUCGGGGGGCACCAAACGCGGGUUCUUCUUUGGGCUCUUCUUCUCCUCCUCCUCCGGGGGAACAACGCCACCUCGCUCCUCCGGGCGCCGUCCUUCACUCCUCCCCGUUGUUGAUGGGGUACGGGAGCGUGUGCAUAACGCCGUUGUUGGGGAAGAUGCUCUGGAAGUCGGUGAAGAUAUUGUAGGUGGUGAAAGCUAUGAACUCACAACCAACCCAAUACGCUCGCCCGAGGAGAUGGAAAGCAUCGAAAGGGUUAGUGAACGUGGCGAGGAGCCCAACCACAACGCUGUUGUGGUUGACCUCCUCAACAUGGUACAUCCGAGGAGAGCCGCGGGGGAGGUGGCGGAAGCCGGCCGCAAGGAAGAACUCAGUUAACUCCCUUGCGCCCCUCCACCUCGAGAUCGCCCAAACCCUAAGGGUUCUCUCUACAUACACUCCGGCCGGGUAGAGCCUUUCCGGCAUGGUUGGGGGGAAGCGGUAGGUGGGGGCGGUGUACUGCNNNNNNNNNNNNNNNNNNNNNNNNNNNNNNNNNNNNNNNNNNNNNNNNNNNNNNNNNNNNNNNNNNNNNNNNNNNNNNNNNNNNNNNNNNNNNNNNNNNNNNNNNNNNNNNNNNNNNNNNNNNNNNNNNNNNNNNNNNNNNNNNNNNNNNNNNNNNNNNNNNNNNNNNNNNNNNNNNNNNNNNNNNNNNNNNNNNNNNNNNNNNNNNNNNNNNNNNNNNNNNNNNNNNNNNNNNNNNNNNNNNNNNNNNNNNNNNNNNNNNNNNNNNNNNNNNNNNNNNNNNNNNNNNNNNNNNNNNNNNNNNNNNNNNNNNNNNNNNNNNNNNNNNNNNNNNNNNNNNNGCAGAGGAUGGGGUAUGAUGGAUGAGGAGGGAGAGGACGAUAGUGCCCGGCUUAAAUAGCCCAAGUGCGACGUGGUUUCACCCCGUCGAAACCCUAGAAUUAAUGGGGGGUUAAUGGGCGGGCAGCGUUUGGUGGCGCCCCAUGAAAGUGUGUACACGAGCGUGGCCGUGGGAAACGGACUGCGACGCUUCUGUGCCAACGGUCGCGGGUCAAGGGGGACGGGCUCACGCACGCGUCUGUGCCGUCGUGGGUCAAGGGGACACGCCAUCCCCGGGUUCUCUGCGUGUGCCGCCCGUGCAUGCAUGCCGUUGCCCAUUAAUUUGCUCAUCUUGCUAGGGCCUGGCUAGAGGGCAAGGUUCGGUCGAUGGGAGACGUGACAAUAAUGGACGCCUUCUUUUGCCCAUCUUGUAACGGGCAGCACGCCAUUUGAACUGCAUCGAUACCCACAUCGAUACCCCAUGCCAGUAUUGCAUCCUCAAAGAGGAGCACGCCAUGCACAGCGUGCACACCACGCCAUGCAGCGUUGGCUUUUUGGUUGUCUUCAUCAGGCUGCUGCAUUGUGGCCGGGUGCAUGCUUUGAUGCGACGCUGCAUCGGUUCUAAUGGUAGGCAUGCGACAGCUUACUGCGUUGAUAGGGGUGGCGGAGCAGGGCUACGUCGAGGCAUGCAUGCAACGCACGGGCGCAGUCCUGCGGGUGGGCAUGCAUGCUGCGGGUAGGCACGGGCACGCAUGCAACGAUGGAAAGGGCACUGCGUAGGCUUGGUCCAUGCACCGCGUCAUCUCUUGCCGUUGGAUUCAAAUGAACGGUCCUGAUGCUCCAACAAGAGAGGCUGAUCCAAACCCCACCGCGUCAACCAAUCAGUGCGUCUCAUGCGGAUCACUGCACACUGUAGCUAACCCUAGCGCCUGAUCUCAACCGUCCACGCACAAUGAUCAACGACCAGGUAGUGUGCGGGGUUUUGAGGGGUUUUGAGAGGGGUUUUGAGGGGUUUUGAGAGGUUUUGACUGAUUAGCGUUGAGCAUAACUAAUUCAAAAAAAAAUCAAAAAAAUAUAAAACUUGCGCACUUAGUCUUAUUAUGUCGUAUUGUAACGAGAAAAAAAAUAUAAAUAUGGUUUACAUACAUUUUUACGAAAAAUCCUUCACAAAAUUGUCAUUCCUCAAACAAUGUAGUAUGGAGUUCAAGGGAGAGAGUAGUGGGCACCCGAGAGUAGGUGGAGUUUUGAAAAUGAAAAGUGUGAAAACCUCACCAAAACUUCAUUUUGGAUUGACUAAGAAAGAUCUGAACUUACUUUUCUCAUUUUCAUGUUUUAAACUUGUUUUAUAUAUAAUUUUCUAUUAAACCUUGUUUUUUCAAAAAGAAAUGAAAAAAAAAGAAAAUUAAUUCAAUAAAUAGUGAGACUUUAGAUUUACACUAUAUAGGUAGAAUAGAUGUGUAGAAAAAUUAUUUGGCUGGUUUAGACAAGGUGCCAAAAAAACUUGCUUAAAUAUGAGGCCUUUUACCCUACCUUUGGAGGUCAUUUGAAACACACUUUUCAUGACUAUGAGUUCAACGGGCAGUUCAACUUACCAAAAGGGCUUGGAAUGAUCAGCAAGCAAACAUAUUUCAGUUGAGGUACUUUAGAUAGCACUAAAACAUCAAUAGCCCAAAUUUAAAUUUAAAUUUAAAUUUUAUUUGGCUGGUUUAGACAAACAAGUUCGAAUAGAAAUAUGGGGAUACAUAGUGACUACAAGUACGCACCAAGUUACAAAUAUUAUUACAUGCCCCAAAUUUUCAAACUGUUCUCUAUUCUACUUCUUCCUACCACGUCGUGUGCCCUUCUUCGCCUUAGCCCUUCUUAUUUUUGGUUCUACUACACACACAAGUUCACUGAUCAUCUUGGUUUUCUUCACUGGUCUUUUCAACACCUCGCCAAUACCCUCGUGAUCAGUGUCUUUAGUCUCAAUGUUGACACCAGUUUCAGUUUCUUUGGUGUGUACCUCAACAUGGGUUUCUUCAGUCUGAACCUCGACACGCUCAGGUUCAGUUUCUUCAGUCUGAACCUCGACACGCUCAAGUUCAGUUUCUUCGGUGUGCACCUCCACAUCAGUUUCUUCAGUCUGAAUGUUGACUGCAUCAUGAUUUUGUUCAGUCUGCUCAGGCUCAGGCACACUUCUCUUCUUUCUACCGCCAUUGACUCUUGCUUUUUUUGUUGGCCAACACUGUUCAACAACAAGGGGCUGACUUGCUCGCUUCCUCCUGUGCAGAAAAUGUUAUAGAUAUAGUAAUUGGAAAAAAGCACCAAAUCAAAACAAAGACAAAUAAACAAGAACAUACUUUGGCUUAUCAGGAGUGUAACGGCAUUUGACAGAUCCCACUCUGUGCCCAAGUUCCUGGCACAACUUGCAUCUGUUUUUGUUACCUUUUUGGGCCCUUUUUGGCUUUUCAUCUUUCUUUCCCUUCUUACUACUCCCACCUUUCUCAAACCAUGCCUUGAAUCUACUCUGUUUAGGCCUGCCAGCCUUUCUUUUCGUCAAGGGAGGACACAUGGAAAAUUCAAUUUCCACUUCAGGCCACUGAGACUGAUCUGUAAGUGCCGGAAUUGGAGUAGCAUAUGCAGCUUUGAAUCUUGCUACCGAAUAAUAUUCAUGCAGAUAUGGGUGCAUGUUUAUCUUCGGUUGGGAUGCUAAGAAAAGAAUGGCAUGCUCACAUGGUUUACCAGUGUGUUGCCACUCGAGGCAAGUGCAAUCAUGCAAUUCAGUGUUAACAACAUGUAUCCUUCCAGUUUUGUUAUCUCUAACUUCAGCACCCCAAGGUGAAGAUUUUUCAACAAACAAAUGUGAAAGACUUCUGCUCCUAUUGACCACCUGUUGUACCACUGCUGGAAGCUUAUCACCUUGCAGACAAUCACCUAUCCUUCUUCUCAAUUCCCACAACCGCAUGAGCAUGAUCCUGAUUUGGUCAACCAUGGCAUGCACAGGCAAAUCUUUUAACUCCUUCACCUUGUUGUUGAAACUCUCUGCCAAAUUGUUGUUGAUGUGGUCACACUUGAUGGCAGUGUUGAAUGCUGACCUGUACCAUAACAAAGAAUGGUAGGUGUUCAUCCAUGGACCAAACUCAUCACAUGCUGCCAUUAUCUUAUCAAGAUGAUAUUUGUGUGUCUGUCUAGUGUAAGAUCUUGCUACUGGUCACAUGCGCCCAAAUUCUUCUCCUCUAAAUUUUUUGAUCAAAUUCAUCCACAAAUGACCGAAGCACUCCCUCUACUCAGCAUGUGGGAAAACAUUUUUCACUGAAUUUUCAAGCCCCUUACAUGCAUCUGUGUGUAUAGCCAAAGGUGACACUGGCCCUAGGCAUCUUUUCAACUGGAUCAUGAACCAUGUCCAUGAAGCCUCGGUUUAUGACUGAAACAAGCCAACAGCAAUAGGAAACAUCCAGUUGUGUCCAUCUAGAGCAUUGCAUGCUGCCAACUGACCAUUCCACUUGCCUGUCAAAAAUGAUGAGUCUAUGCUCAAAUAUGGAUGGCACCCUGCUUUGAAGCCAUCUAUGCAAGGCUUCAAAGCCAUAAAAAACUUGGAGAACUUGACUUCACCUUUGGGUGAUACCUCUGUAUCUAUCUCCACAACACUACCAGGUGACCUCUUUUCCACCUCUGCUUUGAAGUUGUAAAGCAUCCUAAAUGUAUUUGCCCAAUCGCCAUAUAAAUUUUUCAUUGUCCUUUGUUUUGCCUUCCACACUGUGGUAUAUUUCAGUUUAAUGGGGUACAUCUUUUCCAUGUCUACUUUGAGUUUCUGGGCAGUAGUGUUUGGUGUUUUGGCUAAAAUUGGGGUGAUCUUUUCUGCAACCCAAAGUUGUGAUGUCAUGGUUGAUACUCUCUGUGAACUUGUAAUACAAGUAUGUUGAUUGGGGAUUUGGUUAACCCUGACAGUACUUCCAUCAGGUUGCAGUCUAACAGAUAUAUACCACUUGCAAGGCUUGACACUACCAUCUAAUCCUCUGCACCUCGCAUAAAACUUCUUCCUAUCAGUCCAAACAGUCUUGGCAUCAAACUCAUGUUUCACUGCGUAAGUCUUGAAACACAUCCUAAACUCCUUCAUGCUUGGGAACAACUUGCCUACUUCAAUGACAGGGUUUUCUUUGUCAUACAUCAUCAUGUGCAUCAUCUACUUCAUCUGCAGCUUGUUCCAUCAAUUGUCCAUCUACAUCUUCAUCAACAUUAGCAGGCAAACUAGAUUCUCCCCUCUCCUGCUUAUCUCUGUCAUCGACUGGAAUGCCAAAAAGUUUGGCCAUCUCAAUGUCAGGCAUUGGUGCAAUGACCAAAUCAGUAGGCUCAUCUAAUUCAACUACAUUCCAAUCAACAGUUGCUGCAGUUUCAGUUUCAGUUCCAAUCACCUGUCCCUCUUCGGCUAUUACUGUAAGUUCAGUACACAUGGGAAUCAAUGGCCUUUGUGUAGCCCAAUCAUCAUCUACCAUCUGCGCAGCCAAUUGUGAUGACACAUAUCCAACCUUCGAAAAAAUAUUCAGAUCAACCAGCUCAGCAAAAAAAUUAGCUCGUUUGCUUGUCCAGCCGUUUUGCCGAUCGAUUUCUUCAACAAUCUGUUCACCAUCUUCCAUUCUCACAUACUCUCCUUUCCAAUCAUCAAACCGCAACAGUGAUACUUCUUGCUCUGGACCCCAAACAACAUUCUCCCCAAUUUUUUCCACCCAUUUCUUCACUGCCUUCUCUCCCAUGUUCUGUAGAACUUGUGGAUCAAUCUCUGUAAACUCAACCUCCCAUUUAACAAUUGUGUCUCUCUCAAUGUUCUGAAUGCUACCAUCAACUAAUUUUGCCUUUUAUGGAAAGAAAUUGACCGUCAAUUCGAAGGUCCGAGCGGCAGCAUCCCCUCUGUCAGUGGCGGACAGUGUGAGCCCGUGAGAAAGAGCAGACUAGGCCCUAAUUGCAUGCAAAAUUGGAUCAGAGAGACGAGCAUUACCUAUUCGAAGUUGAAUCUGGCGGCUCCAUCUCAGUAUGCCCAUGGGCUCCCCUCACAACCUAUCGAUUCAACAAGCGAAAACAUAGGAAACGAGCUGAGAUCUACGGGGCCGAGAGAGGAACGGGAGGGGGACUAGUGUUCUCACUCACCAUUUUUUGAGGACGAAGGCUCGGCCGCCGUUGAGAACGAGGGCUCCGCCGCCGCCGUUGAGAACGCAAGAUCCGCCGCCACCGGAGAAGAAGGGGGAGGGGGCAGAGUGGUGGGCCCAGCACGGUCGGGCGGCAGGGCACGGUCAGCUGUUUUGAGGAGCAAUUAAGUUGGACCCACAUGUCCUAACAUAAACGGGCUUGCUUGAUGACCAGUUUAACCACAUUUAACACCCCAUGUGGCCCUGGGCUAUUUACCUGCUCAAAUGUGUUGCACCACAGCCAUUCACUCGAACAACGUCGCACUCAAGCAAAUUCACAUCAAAAACGUCGCACAGGAGCUAUUGGCCCAUACUCAAGUGGUAUAACAUUCCAUACUUUCAAGUUUUCCAAUUUCUGAACUUCAAUGAAACUGAAAUUGCUAAUUUUUUGCCCAGGGUCAUGCGAUAAAUCACAUGUAUUUAUAGCAGCAACACUUAGCGCAGAAUCCCUCAGUGCAAAGUGCAAAGGAUCAUUGGAACCUCUACCUCUAGUAUGAUGACAGGACAAAAUCAAGCUUCCCUCAAUAAACUGAAGCCAGCAUGAUCUAUUUUGUUGUCGCGUGUUUUAUCUCAUGUGUUUUUUGACCUCCAAGUUGCAAAUAAUUUUUAUUAGAACUUAUACGUACCAUCAACUGAAUGCUACUACAUCUUCCCAAUCAAAUAUACUAGUUCACAGAUAUUUUUUUAAUGCAAUGGUACUAAUUCAUAGAAUUAGCUAUGAAGAAUUUUCCACAAGCAGUGUGCACAUAUGAGCCUCUAAGCUAUCCUUCUCUUAGUUUAAGUUACGAUGACAGGGAUCCCAAUGAUCCAUUUUAAUUCUGCGAAAUAUAUGUACACAGAACCAUCUAUCUAAAUGUCAUGCUAAGAGGCAUAGAGUGAACAGAGAACAGAUUGACAAUCGGUCUGAAUUUAGCAUGAAAAGAAUCUUAAUUUAACUGAAUGAAAGCAGAGUAAUGGAAUUGCUAUUAGCUUUCCUUCUCUGAAUUUAACACGCAUAAGAUGGGAAUGCCACAAGAAGAAGUGGAAAAUACCUAUGUUCAGCAGAGGUAAUGCUGUAUGUAUGAGCUGCAAU